rnacentral:misc_RNA from 1 species
GAUGAAGACGCAGUGAAAUGCGAUAAGUAAUGUGAAUUGCAGAAUUCAGUGAAUCAUCGAAUCUUUGAACGCACAUUGCGCCCGCCAGUAUUCUGGCGGGCAUGCCUGUUCGAGCGUCAUUACAACCCUCAGGCCCCCGGGCCUGGCGUUGGGGAUCGGCGGAGCCCCCCGUGGGCACACGCCGUCCCCCAAAUGCAGUGGCGGUCCCGCCGCAGCUUCCAUCGCGUAGUAGCUAACACCUCGCGACUGGAGAGCGGCGCGGCCACGCCGUAAAACACCCAACUCUUCUGAAGUUGACCUCGAAUCAGGUAGGAAUACCCGCUGAACUUAAGCAUAUCAAUAAGCGGAGGA